AGAAUCAACGCUGGCGGCGUGCCUCAGACAUGCAAGUUGAACGCGAAAGUUUCCUUCGGGAGGCGAGUAGAGUGGCGCACGGGUGAGUAACACGUAGGUAAUCUACCUUUGGGUGGGGAAUAACAGCCGGAAACGGCUGCUAAUACCGCAUAAUGCAGCGGCUCGACAUCGAGACAGUUGUUAAAGCGGGGGAUUCGUAAGAACCUCGCGCCUAAAGAGGAGCCUGCGGCGGAUUAGCUAGUUGGUGAGGUAAUGGCUCACCAAGGCAUCGAUCCGUA
rnacentral:rRNA from 1 species